rnacentral:sRNA from 1 species
GUCAGGUGCAGUGGCACACACCUGUAAUCCCAGCAGCUCAGGAGGCUGAGUCGGGAGGAUUGCAGGUUUGAGGCUAGCCUCAGCAACUUACUGAGGCCCUAAGCAAAUUAGAGAGACCCUGUCUCAA